rnacentral:lncRNA from 1 species
CCUCGGCUCUCCUGAACAACCUACUGGGGGCAUGAAAGCAGCAGGACUGGUCUUGGGAGAAGCUUGUCCACCAGGUCCUGAAGCCGGAGGAUGUUCUUGCGGUCCUCCUCGGCCUGCAAACACAGCACCCGUGCAGGGCCCAAACCCACUGCGGCUUCCGAUGGGGUCUGAGCAGCAAAGCGCUUGGGGAGGUUUCUGAGACCUCUACCUGGGACAACAGAGACGUUCUAACAACCUCCUCCGCGCAGCCCUUCUCCAAAAUGUCAACUGGUAGCGGAGCCCAUUUUGAAAAGAAAUGAAAUAAACUAUCCCAGGUCUAAGGGAAAAGCAAGGGUACAG